AGUGAACGCUGGCGGUAGGCCUAACACAUGCAAGUCGAACGGCAGCACAGUAAGAGCUUGCUCUUACGGGUGGCGAGUGGCGGACGGGUGAGGAAUACAUCGGAAUCUACUUUUUCGUGGGGGAUAACGUAGGGAAACUUACGCUAAUACCGCAUACGACCUACGGUUGAAAGCAGGGGAUCUUCGGACCUUGCGCGAUUGAUUGAGCCGAUGUCGGAUUAGCUAGUUGGCGGGGUAAAGGCCCACCAAGGCGACGAUCCGUAGCUGGUCUGAGAGGAUGAUCAGCCACACUGGAACUGAGACACGGUCCAGACUCCUACGGGAGGCAGCAGUGGGGAAUAUUGGACAAUGGGCGCAAGCCUGAUCCAGCCAUACCGCGUGGGUGAAGAAGGCCUUCGGGUUGUAAAGCCCUUUUGUUGGGAAAGAAAGGCAGCAGGUUAAUACCCCGCUGUUCUGACGGUACCCAAAGAAUAAGCACCGGCUAACUUCGUG
rnacentral:rRNA from 1 species